rnacentral:rRNA from 1 species
UGCGUAGGUGGUCGGGUAAGUUUGAGGUGAAAGCUCCGGGCUCAACCCGGAAAUGGCCUUGAAGACUAUCCGGCUCGAGGGUUGGAAGGGGGACUGGAAUUUACGGUGUAGCAGUGAAAUGCGUAGAUAUCUGGAGGAACACCGGUGGCGAAGGCGGCAUCCUGGACCAACACUGACGCUGAGGAGCGAAAGCCAGGGGAGCAAACG